rfam:Ictidomys tridecemlineatus contig037261, whole genome shotgun sequence.
GGGGAUAUAGCUCAGUUGGUACAGUGCUUCCCUUGCAUGCAUAAGGCCCUGGGUUCAAUCCCCAGCACCACCA